UUAAGUGACUAAGCGUACACGGUGGAUGCCUAGGCAGUCAGAGGCGAUGAAGGGCGUGCUAAUCUGCGAAAAGCGUCGGUAAGGUGAUAUGAACCGUUAUAACCGGCGAUACCCGAAUGGGGAAACCCAGUGUGUUUCGACACACUAUCAUGUCAUGAAUACAUAGUGGCAUGAGGCGAACCGGGGGAACUGAAACAUCUAAGUACCCCGAGGAAAAGAAAUCAACCGAGAUUCCCCCAGUAGCGGCGAGCGAACGGGGAGGAGCCCAGAACCUGAAUCGGCUUGUGUGUUAGUGGAAGCGUCUGGAAAGUCGCGCAGCAAAGGGUGAUAGCCCCGUACACUAAAAUGCACAGGUCGUGAGUUCGAUGAGUAGGGCGGGACACGUGACAUCCUGUCUGAAUAUGGGGGGACCAUCCUCCAAGGCUAAAUACUCCUGACUGACCGAUAGUGAACCAGUACCGUGAGGGAAAGGCGAAAAGAACCCCGGCGAGGGGAGUGAAAUAGAACCUGAAACCGUGUACGUACAAGCAGUGGGAGCACCUUCGUGGUGUGACUGCGUACCUUUUGUAUAAUGGGUCAGCGACUUAUAUUUUGUAGCAAGGUUAACCGUAUAGGGGAGCCGUAGGGAAACCGAGUCUUAACUGGGCGAAUAGUUGCAAGGUAUAGACCCGAAACCCGGUGAUCUAGCCAUGGGCAGGUUGAAGGUUGGGUAACACUAACUGGAGGACCGAACCGACUAAUGUUGAAAAAUUAGCGGAUGACUUGUGGCUGGGGGUGAAAGGCCAAUCAAACCGGGAGAUAGCUGGUUCUCCCCGAAAGCUAUUUAGGUAGCGCCUCGUGAACUCAUCUUCGGGGGUAGAGCACUGUUUCGGCUAGGGGGCCAUCCCGGCUUACCAAACCGAUGCAAACUCCGAAUACCGAAGAAUGUUAUCACGGGAGACACACGGCGGGUGCUAACGUCCGUCGUGAAGAGGGAAACAACCCAGACCGCCAGCUAAGGUCCCAAAGUCAUGGUUAAGUGGGAAACGAUGUGGGAAGGCAUAGACAGCCAGGAUGUUGGCUUAGAAGCAGCCAUCAUUUAAAGAAAGCGUAAUAGCUCACUGGUCGAGUCGGCCUGCGCGGAAGAUGUAACGGGGCUAAACCAUGCACCGAAGCUGCGGCAGCGACGCUUAGGCGUUGUUGGGUAGGGGAGCGUUCUGUAAGCCGUUGAAGGUGGCCUGUGAGGGUUGCUGGAGGUAUCAGAAGUGCGAAUGCUGACAUAAGUAACGAUAAAGCGGGUGAAAAGCCCGCUCGCCGGAAGACCAAGGGUUCCUGUCCAACGUUAAUCGGGGCAGGGUGAGUCGACCCCUAAGGCGAGGCUGAAAAGCGUAGUCGAUGGGAAACAGGUUAAUAUUCCUGUACUUGGUGUUACUGCGAAGGGGGGACGGAGAAGGCUAGGCUAGCCGGGCGACGGUUGUCCCGGUUUAAGCGUGUAGGGGGUGUGACCUGGUAAAUCCGGUUGCAUAUCAACCCUGAGGCGUGAUGACGAUGCACUACGGUGCAGAAGUAGUUGAUGCCCUGCUUCCAGGAAAAGCCUCUAAGCUCCAGGUAACAUUGAAUCGUACCCCAAACCGACACAGGUGGUCAGGUAGAGAAUACCAAGGCGCUUGAGAGAACUCGGGUGAAGGAACUAGGCAAAAUGGUGCCGUAACUUCGGGAGAAGGCACGCUGGCAUGUAGGUGAAGUCCCUUGCGGAUGGAGCUGAAGCCAGUCGAAGAUACCAGCUGGCUGCAACUGUUUAAUAAAAACACAGCACUGUGCAAACACGAAAGUGGACGUAUACGGUGUGACGCCUGCCCGGUGCUGGAAGGUUAAUUGAUGGGGUCAGCCGCAAGGCGAAGCUCUUGAUCGAAGCCCCAGUAAACGGCGGCCGUAACUAUAACGGUCCUAAGGUAGCGAAAUUCCUUGUCGGGUAAGUUCCGACCUGCACGAAUGGCGUAAUGAUGGCCAGGCUGUCUCCACCCGAGACUCAGUGAAAUUGAACUCGCUGUGAAGAUGCAGUGUACCCGCGGCAAGACGGAAAGACCCCGUGAACCUUUACUAUAGCUUGACACUGAACAUUGAGCCUUGAUGUGUAGGAUAGGUGGGAGGCUUUGAAGCGUGGACGCCAGUCUGCGUGGAGCCAUCCUUGAAAUACCACCCUUUAAUGUUUGAUGUUCUAACUCGGCCCCAUAAUCUGGGGUGAGGACAGUGUCUGGUGGGUAGUUUGACUGGGGCGGUCUCCUCCCAAAGAGUAACGGAGGAGCACGAAGGUUAGCUAAUCACGGUCGGACAUCGUGAGGUUAGUGCAAAGGCAUAAGCUAGCUUGACUGCGAGAGUGACGGCUCGAGCAGGUACGAAAGUAGGUCUUAGUGAUCCGGUGGUUCUGAAUGGAAGGGCCAUCGCUCAACGGAUAAAAGGUACUCCGGGGAUAACAGGCUGAUACCGCCCAAGAGUUCAUAUCGACGGCGGUGUUUGGCACCUCGAUGUCGGCUCAUCACAUCCUGGGGCUGAAGUAGGUCCCAAGGGUAUGGCUGUUCGCCAUUUAAAGUGGUACGCGAGCUGGGUUUAGAACGUCGUGAGACAGUUCGGUCCCUAUCUGCCGUGGGCGUUGGAAGAUUGAGAGGGGUUGCUCCUAGUACGAGAGGACCGGAGUGAACGCACCACUGGUGUUCGGGUUGUCAUGCCAAUGGCAUUGCCCGGUAGCUAAGUGCGGAAAAGAUAAGCGCUGAAAGCAUCUAAGCGCGAAACUUGCCUCAAGAUGAGUCUUCCCUGGGCCUUUAAGGUCCCUGAAGGAACGUUUAAGACUAAGACGUUGAUAGGCUGGGUGUGUAAGUGCAGCGAUGCAUUGAGCUAACCAGUACUAAUGAUCCGUGAGGCUUAACCUU
rnacentral:rRNA from 1 species